AACGAACGCUGGCGGCAUGCCUAACACAUGCAAGUCGAACGAGAUCUUCGGGUCUAGUGGCGCACGGGUGCGUAACGCGUGGGAAUCUGCCCUUUGGUUCGGAAUAACAGUUGGAAACGACUGCUAAUACCGGAUGAUGACGAAAGUCCAAAGAUUUAUCGCCAGAGGAUGAGCCCGCGUAGGAUUAGCUAGUUGGUGUGGUAGAGGCGCACCAAGGCGACGAUCCUUAGCUGGUCUGAGAGGAUGAUCAGCCACACUGGGACUGAGACACGGCCCAGACUCCUACGGGAGGCAGCAGUGGGGAAUAUUGGACAAUGGGCGAAAGCCUGAUCCUGCAAUGCCGCGUGAGUGAUGAAGGCCUUAGGGUUGUAAAGCUCUUUUACCCGGGAUGAUAAUGACAGUACCGGGAGAAUAAGCUCCGGCUAACUCCGUGCCAGCCGCCGCAGUAA
rnacentral:rRNA from 1 species